rnacentral:pre_miRNA from 1 species
CUUGUACUCCCUCCGUUCGGAAUUACUUGUCUCGGAAAUGGAUGUAUCUAGAACUAAAAUACGUCUAGAUACAUCCAUUUUCGCGACAAGUAAUUCCGAACAGAGGGAGUACAUC